rnacentral:piRNA from 1 species
UGAAAAUUUGACAACAUAAUUCAGAAGCCUU